rnacentral:rRNA from 1 species
GACGAACGCUGGCGGCGUGCUUAACACAUGCAAGUCGUACGGUAAGGCCCUUUCGGGGGUACACGAGUGGCGAACGGGUGAGUAACACGUGAGUAACCUGCCCACAACUUUGGGAUAACGCUAGGAAACUGGUGCUAAUACUGGAUAUGUGCUCCUGCUGCAUGGUGGGGGUUGGAAAGCUCCGGCGGUUGUGGAUGGAAUCGCGGCCUAUCAGCUUGUUGGUGGGGUAGUGGCCUACCAAGGCGGCGACGGGUAGCCGGCCUGGGAGGGUGACCGGCCACAUUGGGACUGGGAUACGGCCCAGACUCCCACGGGAGGCAGCAGUGGGGAAUAUUGCACAAUGGGCGCAAGCCUGAUGCAGCAACGCCGCGGGCGGGAUGACGGCCUUCGGGUUGGAAACCGCUUUCAGCAGGGACGAAGCUUUUUGUGACGGUACCUGCAGAAGAAGCACCGGCUAACUACGUG